rnacentral:rRNA from 1 species
GACGAACGCUGGCGGCGUUCUUAACACAUGCAAGUCGAACGGAAAGGCCCUGCUUUUGUGGGGUGCUCGAGUGGCGAACGGGUGAGUAACACGUGAGUAACCUGCCCUUGACUUUGGGAUAACUUCAGGAAACUGGGGCUAAUACCGGAUAGGAGCUCCUGCUGCAUGGUGGGGGUUGGAAAGUUUCGGCGGUUGGGGAUGGACUCGCGGCUUAUCAGCUUGUUGGUGGGGUAGUGGCUUACCAAGGCUUUGACGGGUAGCCGGCCUGAGAGGGUGACCGGACACAUUGGGACUGAGAUACGGCCCAGACUCCUACGGGAGGCAGCAGUGGGGAAUAUUGCACAAUGGGCGGGAGCCUGAUGCAGCAACGCCGCGUGCGGGAUGACGGCCUUCGGGUUGUAAACCGCUUUCGCCUGUGACGAAGCGUGAGUGACGGUAAUGGGUAAAGAAGCACCGGCUAACUACGUG